GGUGAGGUAAUGGCUCACCAAGGCGACGAUCCGUAACUGGUCUGAGAGGAUGAUCAGUCACACUGGAACUGAGACACGGUCCAGACUCCUACGGGAGGCAGCAGUGGGGAAUAUUGGACAAUGGGCGAAAGCCUGAUCCAGCCAUGCCGCGUGUGUGAAGAAGGUCUUCGGAUUGUAAAGCACUUUAAGUUGGGAGGAAGGGUUGUAGAUUAAUACUCUGCAAUUUUGACGUUACCGACAGAAUAAGCACCGGCUAACUCUGUGCCAGCAGCCGCGGUAAUACAGAGGGUGCAAGCGUUAAUCGGAAUUACUGGGCGUAAAGCGCGCGUAGGUGGUUUGUUAAGUUGGAUGUGAAAUCCCCGGGCUCAACCUGGGAACUGCAUCCAAAACUGGCAAGCUAGAGUAGGGCAGAGGGUGGUGGAAUUUCCUGUGUAGCGGUGAAAUGCGUAGAUAUAGGAAGGAACACCAGUGGCGAAGGCGACCACCUGGGCUCAUACUGACACUGAGGUGCGAAAAGCGUGGGGGAGCAAACAGGAUUAGAUACCCCUGGUAGUCCACGCCGUAAACGAUGUCAACUAGCCCGUUGGGAGUCUUGAACUCUUAGUGGCGCAGCUAACGCAUUAAGUUGACCGCCUGGGGGAGUACGGCCCGCAAGGUUAAAACUCAAAUGAAUUUGACGGGGGGCCCGCACAAGCGGUGGAGCAUGUGGUUUAAUUCGAAGCAACGCGAAGAACCUUACCAGGCCUUGACAUCCAAUGAACUUUCCAGAGAUGGAUGGGUGCCUUCGGGAACAUUGAGACAGGUGCUGCAUGGCUGUCGUCCAGCUCGUGUCGUGAGAUGUUGGGUUAAGUCCCGUAACGAGCGCAACCCUUGUCCUUAGUUACCAGCACGUUAUGGUGGGCACUCUAAGGAGACUGCCGGUGACAAACCGGAGGAAGGUGGGGAUGACGUCAAGUCAUCAUGGCCC
rnacentral:rRNA from 1 species